rnacentral:rRNA from 1 species
CGGCGAGUUACGAUUUGAUGCAAGGUUAAGCAGUAAAUGUGGAGCCGUAGCGAAAGCGAGUCUGAAUAGGGCGUUUAGUAUUUGGUCGUAGACCCGAAACCAGGUGAUCUACCCUUGGUCAGGUUGAAGUUCAGGUAACACUGAAUGGAGGACCGAACCGACUUACGUUGAAAAGUGAGCGGAUGAACUGAGGGUAGCGGAGAAAUUCCAAUCGAACCUGGAGAUAGCUGGUUCUCUCCGAAAUAGCUUUAGGGCUAGCCUCAAGUGAUGAUUAUUGGAGGUAGAGCACUGUUUGGACGAGGGGCCCCUCUCGGGUUACCGAAUUCAGACAAACUCCGAAUGCCAAUUAAUUUAACUUGGGAGUCAGAACAUGGGUGAUAAGGUCCGUGUUCGAAAGGGAAACAGCCCAGACCACCAGCUAAGGUCCCAAAAUAUAUGUUAAGUGGAAAAGGAUGUGGCGUUGCCCAGACAACUAGGAUGUUGGCUUAGAAGCAGCCAUCAUUUAAAGAGUGCGUAAUAGCUCACUAGUCGAGUGACACUGCGCCGAAAAUGUACCGGGGCUAAACAUAUUACCGAAGCUGUGGAUUGUCCUUUGGACAAUGGUAGGAGAGCGUUCUAAGGGCGUUGAAGCAUGAUCGUAAGGACAUGUGGAGCGCUUAGAAGUGAGAAUGCCGGUGUGAGUAGCGAAAGACGGGUGAGAAUCCCGUCCACCGAUUGACUAAGGUUUCCAGAGGAAGGCUCGUCCGCUCUGGGUUAGUCGGGUCCUAAGCUGAGGCCGACAGGCGUAGGCGAUGGAUAACAGGUUGAUAUUCCUGUACCACCUAUAAUCGUUUUAAUCGAUGGGGGGACGCAGUAGGAUAGGCGAAGCGUGCGAUUGGAUUGCACGUCUAAGCAGUAAGGCUGAGUAUUAGGCAAAUCCGGUACUCAUUAAGGCUGAGCUGUGAUGGGGAGAAGACAUUGUGUCUUCGAGUCGUUGAUUUCACACUGCCGAGAAAAGCCUCUAGAUAGAAAAUAGGUGCCCGUACCGCAAACCGACACAGGUAGUCAAGAUGAGAAUUCUAAGGUGAGCGAGCGAACUCUCGUUAAGGAACUCGGCAAAAUGACCCCGUAACUUCGGGAGAAGGGGUGCUCUUUAGGGUUAACGCCCAGAAGAGCCGCAGUGAAUAGGCCCAAGCGACUGUUUAUCAAAAACACAGGUCUCUGCUAAACCGUAAGGUGAUGUAUAGGGGCUGACGCCUGCCCGGUGCUGGAAGGUUAAGAGGAGUGGUUAGCUUCUGCGAAGCUACGAAUCGAAGCCCCAGUAAACGGCGGCCGUAACUAUAACGGUCCUAAGGUAGCGAAAUUCCUUGUCGGGUAAGUUCCGACCCGCACGAAAGGCGUAACGAUUUGGGCACUGUCUCAACGAGAGACUCGGUGAAAUCAUAGUACCUGUGAAGAUGCAGGUUACCCGCGACAGGACGGAAAGACCCCGUGGAGCUUUACUGUAGCCUGAUAUUGAAAUUCGGCACAGCUUGUACAGGAUAGGUAGGAGCCUUUGAAACGUGAGCGCUAGCUUACGUGGAGGCGCUGGUGGGAUACUACCCUAGCUGUGUUGGCUUUCUAACCCGCACCACUUAUCGUGGUGGGAGACAGUGUCAGGCGGGCAGUUUGACUGGGGCGGUCGCCUCCUAAAAGGUAACGGAGGCGCUCAAAGGUUCCCUCAGAAUGGUUGGAAAUCAUUCAUAGAGUGUAAAGGCAUAAGGGAGCUUGACUGCGAGACCUACAAGUCGAGCAGGGUCGAAAGACGGACUUAGUGAUCCGGUGGUUCCGCAUGGAAGGGCCAUCGCUCAACGGAUAAAAGCUACCCCGGGGAUAACAGGCUUAUCUCCCCCAAGAGUUCACAUCGACGGGGAGGUUUGGCACCUCGAUGUCGGCUCAUCGCAUCCUGGGGCUGUAGUCGGUCCCAAGGGUUGGGCUGUUCGCCCAUUAAAGCGGUACGCGAGCUGGGUUCAGAACGUCGUGAGACAGUUCGGUCCCUAUCCGUCGUGGGCGUAGGAAAUUUGAGAGGAGCUGUCCUUAGUACGAGAGGACCGGGAUGGACAUACCUCUGGUGUACCAGUUGUCGUGCCAACGGCAUAGCUGGGUAGCUAUGUGUGGACGGGAUAAGUGCUGAAAGCAUCUAAGCAUGAAGCCCCCCUCAAGAUGAGAUUUCCCAACUUCGGUUAUAAGAUCCCUCAAAGAUGAUGAGGUUAAUAGGUUCGAGGUGGAAGCAUGGUGACAUGUGGAGCUGACGAAUACUAA